AAACAACCGGGCAAUGUCUUCUCGUACGAGGCUAUAGAACAAUUGAAUAUAAAGACAAAAUCUUGGAAGGAUUUGCUCACCGAUGAACCAUACAAAAAAAUCAGACUUAAUCACACUUCAAGAUCCUACAAAUCUGACAAAAUUCAACCUGACUACAUUUCAUCAUAUCAAGAACAAUCUAAGAGUAGAAACUGAAGAUGAACUGGAAGCUAAAGGGAACCCUGAAGCUCGGC